UUGAAUAAACUUGGUUGGGCUGUUGCUGGCUCCUUGGAGUAUGUGCACGCCUAGCGCCAUUUUUACCACCUGUGCACCUUUUGUAGACCCGGAUAUCUCUCGAGGAAAACUCGGUUUGAGGACUGCUGUGCGAAAGCCAGCUUUCCUUGCAUUUCCGGGUCUAUGUUUUUAUAUACCCCAUAAGAAUGUAACAGAAUGUUGCUUUACUGGCCUUUUGUGCCUUUAAUCAAAUA
rnacentral:misc_RNA from 1 species